UGGAGCUACCAAGGGGACCCCCAGGAAGGCCAGCAAGCCCCUCUUGUUCAGUUUACCAAUGGCAAACUGAAGAGCUCUGAAAAUAUGACUUUCAACUUGUACAGAAGCAAAAAGGCCACAAACCCCAGAAAGAAG